AAAAGCUUUCUUUAAUUGAAUAAUUGAAUUUAAUUUUUUAGUGCAAAAGCAAAAAUAAAAAUUAGGGACAAGAAGACCCUAUGAAUUUUUAUUAAAUUUUAUAAAACUUUAUAUAAAAUUUAAUUUAAUUGGGGUGAUGGAAAAAGAAUAAAUAUCUUUUUUUUUAAAAAAAAUUGGUUCCGUUUUUAGCGAUUAAAUGAAAAAAANACUCUAGGGAUAACAGCGUAAUAAUUUUGGAUAGUUCAUAUAGAUAAAAUAGUUUGCGACCUCGAUGUUGGAUUAGGAUUCUUUUUUGGNGAANAAGUUAAAAAAA
rnacentral:rRNA from 1 species